UUAACCGUAUAGGGGAGCCGUAGGGAAACCGAGUCUUAACCGGGCGUUAAGUUGCAGGGUAUAGACCCGAAACCCGGUGAUCUAGCCAUGGGCAGGUUGAAGGUUGGGUAACACUAACUGGAGGACCGAACCGACUAAUGUUGAAAAAUUAGCGGAUGACCUGUGGCUGGGGGUGAAAGGCCAAUCAAACCGGGAGAUAGCUGGUUCUCCCCGAAAGCUAUUUAGGUAGCGCCUCGUGAAUUCAUCUCCGGGGGUAGAGCACUGUUUCGGCUAGGGGGCCAUCCCGGCUUACCAACCCGAUGCAAACUGCGAAUACCGGAGAAUGUUAUCACGGGAGACACACGGCGGGUGCUAACGUCCGUCGUGAAGAGGGAAACAACCCAGACCGCCAGCUAAGGUCCCAAAGUCAUGGUUAAGUGGGAAACGAUGUGGGAAGGCCCAGACAGCCAGGAUGUUGGCUUAGAAGCAGCCAUCAUUUAAAGAAAGCGUAAUAGCUCACUGGUCGAGUCGGCCUGCGCGGAAGAUGUAACGGGGCUAAACCAU
rnacentral:rRNA from 2 species